UAACAUUCAUUAUUUUCCUUUCUCAUUCUUUCCCUAUUUACCUUGCACGGCCAAAGAAAAUUCUUAAAUUUCAAAUAAACCAAUUUGGACUCGAUAAUCAAAUUGAUCUGCUUUUGACCUAAAUACGGAGUAUAUCUUUUUCCAACCAAAGCAAAGUUUUUUUCAAACAUUAACAGGUCAAAAUAGUAAGUGCAAACAAUUCAAGAUUUCAAGCUACACACUGACCAUCCUAACUGCUCCUUAGCAAGUUGCAUUUUUCUUCAGAGAAAAUCGUUAAUUUGCUACUAUGCUAUGAUUAAAACCCUAGAUUUUCUCUUCUCAUAUGGCUAAGUCAGUUUGAAUGCACAAAUAUAGUUUCUAAUCAUAAAGGUAAGUCCUUUUUAUUCUGCUAUUUAACAAGUUUCAAAUAUACAAAUCAUAUUGUUAUAACUUAAGAUACUUGAUGCUUGUAUAAUACUAAUUCAACUUUUUUUUUCUUUUUUCUUUUGUAGUCAGAAGGAGCUUUUUGCUCUCUAAAAAGAUGCAUAUAUUGUAUACUUGUCCGCUGAUUCUGUUU
rnacentral:lncRNA from 1 species